AGUUUUGGCGCACUAAACCCCGCGAAAUUUUCACCAAAAAUUUCAAUAAAAUUCUUUUCCUUACCCUGGAACCCUAGCCGCAUCUUUGCUUAUAAUGUUUAUUCUUCGUUUUCUCGACCUAACCUUGUAAAAAAACCCACAGACAGGACUUUAUUCCCAUUCACCACCAAAAGAUAAUCAAACAAGAAGAUAACUUUCUCUCACCAAAAUCAAAAACCCAAAACUUCUCUUAGUUUUUAAUCCACCCUAACCGAAACCCAUCUUCGAAUCUGAAUGAUUUUUGUUCGACAAAAAAAAUCAUCAUCAACAACAACGUCAAAUGCCAUAAAAAAACCCAUAAAUUUUUUGAUUUCCCAACCAAAUCUUUAACCCGAUUCGGAAUCCGGCUUCAGAUUAAUGCUCAGUAUGUUGUAAAUCUGCAUUACCCAUAAAAUGUUUUCGUAGUCAAUUAGUCAAAUCAUUUGCAAGUUACAACUUUUCGAUCUAAUGGAGGAAAUCAAAGUUUAUCCGAAUGUAACUGUAAAAUCCAUUAAUCCGGCGUGGAGUCUGGUUCAUUUGAAGGAAUUGGAUGUUUGGGUAUCCAUCAGCAGCUGAAAUUAAUCACCAGUAUGGGGAAAAAACAAAGCAAGUGAGAAGCUAAAGGCAGGACCCAGCUGAGAAGACAUGCGCUCUGGCAGCGAGAGAUAUACUGAAAGAAAUGGAUGUUAAUACCGGAUAUUCAGUUUGGGAAAACGGCAGGUCUGAUAUUGGUGGAGUACAUUGGAUUAUAUUAGAAGCAGUUUAAUGGCGAAGACUACCAUGUUGAGUUCCCCUUUUGAAGCUCUAGCCCAUAUGACAUGUCUCUUUUGAGAUGCCUUUACUGCUUACCGGCUCACUUGUUAGAACCGAUGCUGUAUAUGCAUCCUAUCAAAGACUAGGACAGUACAUGAAUGCCAUAAAAAUACUGGAAAUCUAUGGCUGAGAACAUGAUAAAUCUGGUAAACUGAAGCUUGCAGAGCUGUUGCGGACUGUUAUACUGAAAUUGAACAAGCUGGGAGAUUCUGUGAUAAACACAUUACUCCAAGACUAAUGUUUUACAUUUAGUGUUUCGACAUGUAGAGAUCUUUCAACAUUGUUAGAGGCUCUAAUUUUCUUGAACUUUGAAAACAUUUCGUUUAACUCAGAAAUGUUUGGGCUAUUAGAAAAAUUUUUUGGAGAACGAUAAGGACAAUGCACUUUGUGACAUCUCAUGGCAACGAUUUAAGAACUUUAUAUAUGCACGUAGAUAUAGUUAGUCUAACUAAAGACAUUA